GAAUUGGACUGAACAAGAAGGUGUAGCCCUACAAUAUUCUCUGUCCUCUGGCAGUGAGGGGCUAAUCCUCUGAUGCCUUCAUCUCCUACCUAAAAAUGGGGUUGGCGAUAUCUUUCCUGACCCACCUCAGAAGUCCCACAUGAAGAGACGAGAAAGUGAAUUGCAUGAUUCUUUCUACCCUAAUCAAAACAAAGCCAAACUACAAGACACACAUCUGCCUUUGGUGAUGAAAUAUAUGGAAUACUCCGUGAUACCAUGCUGCGAGCUCUGUGAAUAUGGACCCAGAGUGUCCCUUGUUGUGAAGCAUGCCCUGGGAAGAGGCGCUAACCUUGCAUCGCUUUUAAGUGAAAUAUACAUUUUUCUUUUUAAAUGGAAGCUCACAAUGACAUUGUGUAGAAGGGAUCCCAGCACCUCCCACCCCACCCGCCUGGAUUAUCACCAUGUCUCCUUGAGCUGCACCUCUGGAAAAAAAUGUGAAGGAGGCCCAUUGAGAAUACAAUUGUGA
rnacentral:lncRNA from 12 species